GACGUAGGGCGCGAGCGUUGUCCGGAUUUAUUGGGCGUAAAGAGCUCGUAGGCGGCUUGUCGCGUCGAAUGUGAAAUCUCAGGGCUCAACUCUGACAUUGCAUUCGAUACGGGCAGGCUAGAGUUCGGUAGGGGAGACUGGAAUUCCUGGUGUAGCGGUGAAAUGCGCAGAUAUCAGGAGGAACACCGAUGGCGAAGGCAGGUCUCUGGACAGUUCCUGACACUGAGACACGAAGGCCAGGGGAGCAAACGGG
rnacentral:rRNA from 1 species